GGCGCCGUCAAGUAGCCCCGGGAACGGCCGGCGUUUCGGAGCCGGUGGGCGGCUGGAGGCUGGGGCGCUCGGCCGGUUCCCGCUGGACCUCGGCCAGUGCCCGCGCGGCCGCGUUCCCGCAGCGCUGUCCACGUCGGCCCGCCAUGCGCCCGCCGGCCCCGGCCGUGCUGGGGCUGCUGCUUCUGAUGCUGCUGUCGCCCGGCGAGGCCACCAAGAAGCCGACGCCCUGCAAGCGAUGCCGGGAGCUGGUGGACAAGUUCAACCAGGGAAUGGUGGACACAGCAAAGAAGAACUUUGGUGGUGGAAACACGGCUUGGGAGGAAAAGACGCUGUCCAAGUAUGAAUUCAGUGAGGUCCGCCUGCUGGAGAUCAUGGAGGGCCUGUGUGGGACCAGCGACUUCGAGUGCAACCAGCUGCUGGAGGAGCACGAGGGGCUCCUGGAGACCUGGUGGCUGCGGCUGAAGAAGAAGUAUCCUGACUUAUUUGAAUGGUUUUGUGUGAAAACACUGAAAGUUUGCUGUGCUCCAGGAACUUACGGGCCAGACUGCCUGGCGUGCCAGGGCGGGUCCGAGCGGCCCUGCAGCGGGAACGGCCACUGCAGCGGAGACGGCAGCAGACAGGGCGACGGGUCGUGCCAGUGCCACCCGGGGUACCGGGGACCGCUGUGCGCCGACUGCAUGGACGGCUACUUCAGCUCGCUGAGGAACGAGACGCACAGCACCUGCUCAGCCUGUGACGAGUCCUGCAAGACGUGCACGGGCCCCACCAACAGAGACUGCGGCCAGUGCGAAGCGGGCUGGGCACGGGAGGGCGACGCCUGCGUGGAUGUGGACGAAUGCGCGGUGGAGCCGCCCCCCUGCGAGGACCAGCAGUACUGCGAGAACGUCAACGGCUCCUUCGUGUGCCAGGGUGAGCGUGCCUCCCGGCCCUCCGGCUCCAGCCCCUCCUUCCCCUCCAGAGGCUUGCGGCUUGUCAGCGUGACCCCUGUGUGCUCUGCCACCUUAAAACGUUUACGGUGGCAACACAAGUGAUAGAUGUUUCCUAAAGAAGAAUCAGGAAUUCAGAUAAGUUGAAAAAAGGGGGCAACCAUCCACUCCCUGGGGAGGGGCCCCUGGCAGGCCGGUCGAGGCAGUGCUGAUCUGAGCGGCCCCUUGUUACCUGUUUGUUUUUCAUUCAACAGUAUCGUGACCGCCUUUGCAUGUCACAUUUUUGUACAUCGUGUUAAUUACUUUGGAGCAUGUUGUUAUUUCACGGUUUUCUUCAACAAUCUGUAUCAUUGAAUAUUUGUCAUACACCGUUUCCCACAGUUACAAACUUUGAAGACCCCCGUAGGUAAAGCUUCUUACAUUCUUCAUUAUUUUCUUUGGAUGAGUUUCCGAGUUGCUCAGUUCAAGGGAAUGUGGAUUUUAGGGCCACCCACCCCCCCCGAAAGGUUGAAAGGUGGUGCCGAUUCCUCGCCUUCCCCCCCCCCCGCCCCCCCCCACCGUGUCCGCGACCAUGCCGUCCUGUCUCCAUGUUUGUGGACACACAGCUUCAAUGAGACGCCCCCAAAGCAUCACACGUUCUCUGCUGUCGUUGGCACCAAGCUCCUAGCUGAAUGUGAUUCUACCUGCGUGGGAUGCACAGGGAAGGGUCCUGGACAGUGUAAAGAGUGCAUCCCCGGCUACUCGAAAG